UGCAGUCGAGCGGGGAAGGUAGCUUGCUACUGGACCUAGCGGCGGACGGGUGAGUAAUGCUUAGGAAUCUGCCUAUUAGUGGGGGACAACAGUUGGAAACGGCUGCUAAUACCGCAUACGCCCUACGGGGGAAAGCAGGGGAUCUUCGGACCUUGCGCUAAUAGAUGAGCCUAAGUCGGAUUAGCUAGUUGGUGGGGUAAAGGCCUACCAAGGCGACGAUCUGUAGCGGGUCUGAGAGGAUGAUCCGCCACACUGGGACUGAGACACGGCCCAGACUCCUACGGGAGGCAGCAGUGGGGAAUAUUGGACAAUGGGGGCAACCCUGAUCCAGCCAUGCCGCGUGUGUGAAGAAGGCCUUUUGGUUGUAAAGCACUUUAAGCGAGGAGGAGGCUACUUAGAUUAAUACUCUAGGAUAGUGGACGUUACUCGCAGAAUAAGCACCGGCUAACUCUGUGCCAGCAGCCGCGGUAAUACAGAGGGUGCGAGCGUUAAUCGGAUUUACUGGGCGUAAAGCGUGCGUAGGCGGCUGAUUAAGUCGGAUGUGAAAUCCCUGAGCUUAACUUAGGAAUUGCAUUCGAUACUGGUCAGCUAGAGUAUGGGAGAGGAUGGUAGAAUUCCAGGUGUAGCGGUGAAAUGCGUAGAGAUCUGGAGGAAUACCGAUGGCGAAGGCAGCCAUCUGGCCUAAUACUGACGCUGAGGCACGAAAGCAUGGGGAGCAAACAGGAUUAGAUACCCUGGUAGUCCAUGCCGUAAACGAUGUCUACUAGCCGUUGGGGCCUUUGAGGCUUUAGUGGCGCAGC
rnacentral:rRNA from 1 species